GUUUGCCCUUGGUUCUGUACAUACUUAUGCUGCUGCUUAAAUGCCCUUUGCAUCAGUUCACUUCUAGAUUUUCUCUUAGUGUUUGGCUGAAUUGUUUGAGUUCGUCUCACCUCACACACAUUACUUGAGGAGCACACGACAGGCAGUUAAACAAAUAAGAAAUGUUUCUAGAUAGUGAUAAAAAGGCACUAAAAUAUUUAUCAGCCUUAGCUUUCGGAGGUUUCACAAAUCUUAAUGCACCAUGAAUAAAAUAAAACCAAUAAUUAGAUAUAAACAAAUAUUACCCUGUUAUAAGACUGUGGUGUGGCAAAACUAACAAAUCUACAUGCAUGCUUUCCACCUGCCUGCAUUUCUCUAAUCCCCCUUUCCUUCUUUUGUCCCUUUGAUGACAAACACAGUCAAUGUUGUCUGCCAUGCCACUCGUGUAUAAGUGGAGGCCUUUGUGAGUUUUCCAUCUCACAGUGAGACCAUUCCCUUGCAGACCUCGGUUGACAUGAACCUGCCGGGUCAUUCUGCCCGAGUGUUGGUGACAAACUGCCCGCUCUGGAUUCUACCUUUGGAGGCCAAAGAGAUUAAAUGGCUAAUAGAGUCGAGGAGCUGCUAUUCCCUGCAUGGCAAGAGAAGAGACAUACAUGAGGGGAGAAGGCUGGCCGAGGAGCCACCAAGAAAGGAGAAGGCUUCCUCUGUAAGAAAUGAAAGACCAGGAGUAAAGUAAAAUUCACAGAUGGAUUUCUGUGGCUCAGUGUUGCACAGAGCUUACUCCUGAAUUCCAGACCCAGGAACUUCUUCCAAAGGACCACACUAAGCAUUCUGGUGAGCCCUUGAAGCACAAUUACUUUUUCUCAUACUCCUAAAGCAAUCCAAUGAGGUAAGUUUGUAUAGAUAAGAAGAAAAUUGAGACAGAUAAAGUUUUGAUAUGGCCCCUAAACCACCCAACUAGCACAAGCAGACAGAAUUUAAACCCAAAUGGGUCUGACUUCAAAGUACUGAGUAAUAGUAUGGCGUGUGGCGAAUGAAAUGCUGCUGUCAGGGUUUGCACAGACAGUAAGCAGGGUUUGGGAAGCUGACCUAUAGACCACACCUAGACCUGCUUCUCUGCUCUAUGCAAACCUUUCCUACCUCCUCUGAACCCAGCCAGCACCAUUUCUCCUUUUUACUGCAUCGACAUUCUGUCUCCAGUGUCCCUGUCUCUUCUAAUGCCAAGCCACC
rnacentral:lncRNA from 1 species